rnacentral:rRNA from 1 species
CCAGCAGCCGCGGUAAUUCCGGCUCCAAUAGCGUAUAUUAAAGUUGUUGCAGUUAAAAAGCUCGUAGUUGGAUUUCUGGUAGGAUGACUGUGCCCUCAGCAGAGCGUGCGCAGGCGUCUUGCCAUCCUUCUGUUAACCUUUGAGAGCUUCAUCGCUCUCUUUGGGGCUCAGAUAUUUUACCUUGAGAAAAUUAGAGUGUUUCAGGCAGGCUAGCGCCGGAAUACAUUAGCAUGGAAUAACGAAUGUGUCUGGAAUAUUGGUUAAUUCUAGAUUACGAUUAAUAGGGACAGUUGGGGGCAUUAGUAUUUAAUUGUCAGAGGUGGAAUUCUUGGAUUUAUUAAAGACUAACGUAUGCGAAAGCAUUUGCCAAGGAUGUUUUCAUUAAUCAAGAACGAACAU